CGCGCAGGCGGCUUUAGUAGUCAGGCGUGAAAGCCCCGGGCUUAACCUGGGAAUUGCGUUUGAUACUCUGAAGCUAGAGUACGGGAGAGGAUAGUGGAAUUCCCAGUGUAGAGGUGAAAUUCGUAGAUAUUGGGAAGAACACCGGUGGCGAAGGCGGCUAUCUGGACCGUAACUGACGCUGAGGCGCGAAAGCGUGGGGAGCAAACAGGAUUAGAUACCCUGGUAGUCCACGCCGUAAACGAUGUGCGCUAGACGUUGGAGGCUUAGCCUUUCAGUGUCGUAGCUAACGCGAUAAGCGCACCGCCUGGGGAGUACGGCCGCAAGGUUAAA
rnacentral:rRNA from 1 species